CCUACGGGAGGCAGCAGUGGGGGAUAUUGCACAAUGGGGGGAACCCUGAUGCAGCGACGCCGCGUGAGCGAAGAAGUACCUCGGUAUGUAAAGCUCUAUCAGCAGGGAAGUAAAUGACGGUACCUGACUAAGAAGCCCCGGCUCAAUACGUGCCAGCAGCCGCGGUAAUACGUAUGGGGCAAGCUUUCUCCGGAUGUACUGGGUGUAAAGGGAGCUCAGGCGGCCUGCCAAGUCUGGUGUGAAAACCCUGGGCCCAACCCCGGGCCUGCAGUGGAAACUGGCAGGCUGGAGUGGCGGAGGGGCAGGCGGAAGUCGUAGUGUAGCGGUGAAAUGCGUAGAUAUUAGGAGGAACGCCGGUGGCGAAGGCGGCCUGCUGGACGAUGACUGACGCUGAGGCUCGAAAGCGUGGGGAGCAAACAGGAUUAGAUACCCCUGUAGUC
rnacentral:rRNA from 1 species